CCUACGGGGGGCUGCAGUGGGGAAUAUUGCGCAAUGGGCGAAAGCCUGACGCAGCAACGCCGCGUGCGGGAUGACGGCCUUCGGGUUGUAAACCGCUUUCAGCAGGGACGAAGGGUUUCUGACGGUACCUGCAGAAGAAGCACCGGCUAACUACGUGCCAGCAGCCGCGGUGAUACGUAGGGUGCGAGCGUUGUCCGGAAUUAUUGGGCGUAAAGAGCUUGUAGGCGGUCCGUUGCGUCGGAAGUGAAAACUCGGGGCUUAACCCCGAGCCUGCUUUCGAUACGGGCGGACUUGAGGGAUGUAGGGGAGAACGGAAUUCCUGGUGGAGCGGUGGAAUGCGCAGAUAUCAGGAGGAACACCAGUGGCGAAGGCGGUUCUCUGGACAUUUCCUGACGCUGAGAAGCGAAAGCGUGGGGAGCAAACAGGCUUAGAUACCCCAGUAGUC
rnacentral:rRNA from 1 species